rfam:Gorilla gorilla gorilla genomic chromosome, chr6, whole genome shotgun sequence
GGAUGUGAGGGCAAUCUGGCUGCGACAUCUGUCACCCCACUAAUCGUCAGGGUUGAUUCGGCUGAUCUGGCUGGCUAGGUGGGUGUCCCCUUCCUCCCUUACCACUCUAUGUGUGUCCCUCCUGAAGCUGCGCACUCGGUUGAAGAGGACAACCAUCCCCGAUAGACAAGGACUGGUCUUCAGUCAAGGGUAUACAAGUAGCUGCACUCCCCUGCUAGAACCUUCAAACAAGCUUUCAAAAUAAUGUAGAAGAGUGACAAUAUUUAUUAAUAAGUAUUUAAUAAAUAUAUUUUUGGUUAAAAAUAAUAUUAACAUGUUAAUUUCU